UACGUAGGUGGCAAGCGUUGUCCGGAUUUACUGGGCGUAAAGAGCGCGCAGGCGGUCGUCCAAGUCGCGUGUGAAAGCCCCCGGCUCAACUGGGGAGGGUCACGCGAUACUGGUCGACUCGAGGGCAGGAGAGGGUAGUGGAAUUCCCGGUGUAGUGGUGAAAUGCGUAGAUAUCAGGAGGAACACCGGUGGUGUAGACGGCUUUCUGGACCGUAACUGACGCUGAGACACGAAAGCUAGGGGAGCAAACGGG
rnacentral:rRNA from 1 species